AGCAUAUGGAGGUUGCCCAUCAUAGACAGUGAAUUUGGUACCCAAAAAGUUUGAUCUGAGUUUCCCAACAUAGGUGCCACUUCCCUUUGACAUGUCAUCUGCGUCUAAAGAGAUAAGGUAGUCAGUGCAGGUAGGUCGUCGAUACCUACGUGCAGCAAGGAGGAACUUGCCAUUAUCCGUUAAUGCUUGGGUCAGACCGAUGUAAAGGUGGUACGAUUGAGUAGCCUGGUUACGCUUUAUAAAACACUGGAGAGGAAAUUCUCUAGGGCCGGGCUGUUUCAGCGAUAUGGGGAACGUCAGCUUCCCGGCCACCUCCGGCGUCUUCACAAUCUCCUUCAUAAUCUCCCUCCAGCU
rnacentral:misc_RNA from 1 species